rnacentral:rRNA from 1 species
GGAAUAUUGGGCAAUGGGGGAAACCCUGACCCAGCAACGCCGCGUGAAGGAAGAAGGUUUUCGGAUUGUAAACUUCUGUCCUAUGUGAAGAGGCAGAGACGGUAGCAUAGGAGGAAGCCCCGGCUAACUACGUGCCAGCAGCCGCGGUAAUACGUAGGGGGCGAGCGUUGUCCGGAAUGAUUGGGCGUAAAGGGCGCGUAGGCGGCUUGAUAAGUCUGGAGUGAAAGUCCUGUUUUCAAGAUGGGAAUUGCUUUGGAUACUGUUAAGCUUGAGUGCAGGAGAGGUUAUCGGAAUUCCCAGUGUAGCGGUGAAAUGCGUAGAGAUUGGGAGGAACACCAGUGGCGAAGGCGGGUAACUGGACUGCAACUGACGCUGAGGCGCGAAAGUGUGGGGAGCAAACA